AAAGCGUAAUCUACAUACAUCGGCAGGAUGCUGAUACGAAAGAGAAAAGUUCCAAGGAUUGGUCAUCUUCAGGAAGAAGAUUUAACAUGUCAGGAUGAGAUGUUAGCAGGAAGCAUCGGUUUGCUGGAUACUAGACCACUAGGACGGUGGUAAUAGAUGAAGGUAAUCGCUUAAGGAAGAAAAGCGCGUCUGCUAGGAUGGCAGAAACAUGGACACCGCUAGGAUGGCGAUGAAAUGGAUUGCGCUGAAGGACUCAGCAACUAUCAGGGAUUAGAUGCAGGGAGCACAUUCGUAGCUGGAUUGCUGCAAAUACGGUUAGACCCCGUCGAGCUUAGGCCCGGCGGGGUUUUUCUUGU
rnacentral:other from 1 species